CCUGCACACACAAACAGCACAGCCUGGGACACAGACUCCAACCAGGGAUCCCUCCUAAGUGUUUACACUUUACAUUCUUUGUGUAAAUGGAUGUUUAACCCUACGCCUGCCAGGAGAUGGAUAAGUGUGGGACGCAAGCCAUUGUCUCGUGAGUGACGCCAUAAACAGGCGGGUUUGGAGCCGGCUCAUUAUCAGUCUUGUGCCAAGUGAGGCUACGGGAUAAUAAUACGGGAUAAUAACAGAUGAUUUAACCGGGGAGGAUACGUUUAGCUUCUACUAGUUUUCAAUUAAUUCCUGGGGUAUUGUUGUUAUUGCUCAAGAGAGAGUGACAGAGGUAAUUCCUCGCAAGGGUACACCAUCCGCCAUAGCGAGAGGUUCACAGAGGGGUCAGUCUGUCUGGAGCUAAUACCCAGAGACUCCUCUGGCAUCAGAUAUUAUGGGGAAUUCAUGCUGCCCAGCAGGGCACCUGUGCCACAACGCAUGAGUUUUCAGCCAGGCUAUGAGCCAACAGCAGCGUGGGUUCAAGUUUGGCUAAAUAUCCAGAUUGUAUAGCGCUCAAUAAUCCGGGCAUUCGGAGUACAUAAAAAAAAAAAAGGUAAUAUGAUGGAUUAGUUAGUUAAUGCAGAAAAUGUAGAAAUAGUUCAAGCGUUAAACUUAAUAAUGAUAUGUUAACUCCGCAUUUAAUUCGUUCAUAACAUACAAAAAAAUAUCUACUCAAUCCUUCAAAGUGAAAAAAUGGGCUCUGAUUCCACACCCAUUCAAUAUGGAAUCCAAAAAGGAAAAAAUGUCCAGCGCACGUCAGUAGGUGAAAAAGUACUCCAAAUUUAUUGAGGUCUCCACAGCUAGCCAAACAACGUUUUAACCUAACAAUAGGGCUUACUCAAGUUCUAAAGAUCCUUUUCACCUGUUGAAGUGUGCCCGGCAAUUAUAUUUUAGGGUUUUUCAUGCUUUCAAGGUUGAUAAAAUAAAAACAACUGAGCAGGGUAACACGAUCUUCUGUGUCUCAGGACAUUGCCGAAAAGAAGGUAAAUUAAAUUGCAUCUUUCCAGGUAAAGAAUUUUCAUUACAUUUACACAAUAAAGUUACUUGCUGGCUGCCGGUAAGUUUGUUUUAGAAGGCGAUACUCGCAAAGUAAGCAUUAUUCAGAGCCUCUAUGAGAGGCUAAUGAACCACAGCAGGAAUGCAGGUUCAUCUGCCCCGGGGUAAGUGGACUCUUUGUCUCAGAUUGUUGGGAAGAAGCUUGGAUUUCAGUGAAGAAGAGGUACAGUUGCGCGAUAACAGUUGAGUGUGAGUUCAGACUGUUGCAACUUUAUUAAAUGGUGAACCUGAACAGCUUAACCUGUCAAGGAUCGAAGUAUGAGGAUAAACGCUGGAGACUCUACCGUAAUGACACGGUAUAAGCUGCAGAACUUUGAAAAAUGUUAAGUGUACACUGAUUCAGCAUUAAAGGAACACUCCAAACACCAUAACCACUACAGCCAGCUGGUGAUCUUCCAGCAUAAUUUUUCACACUUUAAGAAGGGUUUGACAAUUUACUUGGGACACUCCUGGGCACCUACGGCACCAAAUACAUCUGUUGGAUUUUUCUACAUAAUUAUUUUCUAAAUAUUUGCUUAAAUGUUGUAUUUUGUCUCUCAUUUCUCAAGAAUUUAGAGUUUAGUAAAUAAGCCUUAAGUGAUUUUCACAUUUCAGGCCAAAGUAGCUCAACCGGAAAACAUGUUCCAACUCUCAGCUGUGUUCUAAGCAGCUAUUUUGUCCUGAAAUUUGGAAUAGCCCACUAGACUUGGAAGUGUAGAUAAUUCACUAGGGUACUUGUUAGUGAAUAAACGCUUUAGCAAAAGCAAGACAAUCACAGCAAGUGCCCUCUGAAUACAGUUUCCCAGUCAUGUUUUUGCCAAUAACUGCGUACUCCACUCCCACACCUAUCACAGAUAAUAAGCAACAAAUAAGAAUGCCCCUUACACAGUUAAAGGACCACUAUAGGCACCCAGACCACUUCAGCUCAAUGAAGUGGUCUGGGUGCCAGGUCCCCCUAGUUUUAACCCUGCAGGUGAAAACAUAGCAGUAUCAGUGAAACUGCUAUGUUUACACUGCAGGGUUAAUCCAGGCUCUAGUGACUGUCUCCCUUACAGCCACUAGAGGCCGCUUCCGGGAUUUACACUGAGUAAAUCGCACUUAUUUGACGCUGGAUGUCCUCACGGAGUCCAGUGUCAAAUAAGAUGCCCAUAGGAAAGCAUUGAGUAAUGCUUUCCUACCGGCGGGUUUGAAUGCGCACAUGCCUCUGGCCGCGCAUGUACAUUUGGCUCCACUCGGGAGCUGACAUCAAUGAAGGAGGAGAGAUCACCAGCGCUGAGGGAGCCCCGCGCUAGAUAAAGGUAAGCAAAUAAAUGGUUAAUUAACCAUUUAUUUACCAUGGAACGGGACGUGACUAGGGUUCUAUAGCGUUAGGAAUACAUAUUUUAUUCCUAACGCUAUAGUGUUCCUUUAAACUACGAUAUAAAGUCUGGAAUAAUUCCUCUAAAUCCAUGAUUACUUAUAAUAGGAACCUAGCAGUUUAUCCACACAAGUCUGGACUGCUCCCAAAACAGUGUUUGAUCACUAUAGCAACACAAAGCAUCAGAUAUAAACAGAGAAAAAAAGCCAAAUUUCUCUGCUCAGCACGGCGCUGCUCCGACUGAACAAUACACUGCAUGUAGCCUGUGGCAGCCACGUGUGGACUCCGCAAAUAACGGCACACACAUAUUCUGCACAGAAUAGUGAUGAUUAUCCCUUUAUUAGUGGUGAUGAUGCGGGGGGAGUGAAACAGUGCUAUGGUCUUGUUCACAUACAGGCAGUUUAUUGAAAAGGAGACAAGGUGGGCUCUUGACAUACGGUUAAGAAGUAUUCAUGGAGAGAAAAUUCUUUUCCUUUUCCAGAAAGAUUUGCAUACCUUCCAGGUGAGGUCACAGCACAGCGACUUGUAGGAACACAACCGAGCCUCGGGCCUAUUUAAUUAGUUUAUUUCCAGUCACUUUGUCGUUUCUAGACAGGCAAUAAGCUCAAGUAGCAGUCAAUUCUAAUAAACUGCAUUUUCCAAAAACCCUGUUACACUUUGGAAAUUAACUGCUUGAAGGAAAACGGGAAAAGACUGAUGACCCAGUUCUAGAACUGUUUGUUUUCUUUGGGAAAGCGAUCAGGGUUAUUUACUCAUAUGUGAGUUGUAUGGAAGUCAUAUUUUACACCAAAAUAACUGAAAUGGUUAUUUUGGCCUCAAUUUGUAAAUUCACUGACGGUACUCGGUUGCACCACCUACGAAAGGUUUGUCACUUACCUUUGUCGGGCACCCAUGGUCCUUCCAGUCUCAGUUGCUGUGAUAACACAGAAAUUCACAUUUACAAAUUAUCAUACUGUAACUAUAACUAUCUCAUGCCAGGUUGGAAAAGUAUUGAUUGGUCGUCUAGACCUGGUAUGAUAAUGUGAAAGUAUAAACCUCUGAUUUACCACGUCAGCAUAUACUGGAAGGACUGCAGGCACCUGACAAAGCAAAGAUAAUGUCAAACAGUUGUGAACAGUUUGACAGGUUACGGUUUGGUAGUAAAACUACCACCUGUGCGGUUGCACCGUGGCCCAUGUUAUUAUGGCCACCAGGUGGGAAUCUGUCUUCAGGGAACCAGUCAUGUGCUAUAACACUUUCACAGCGUGAUCAGCCCAUCUCAUAUCGGCAGGCAGUCCUGGGAGGAAGAGAGAGCCGUCACCAAGCCGACACACACCAAUCCACGCAGGAGGACAAGGCAGAAAGGAAUGGAUAGC
rnacentral:lncRNA from 1 species